rnacentral:tRNA from 1 species
GCUGCUUUCUAUUCUACAAUGUGCAGCAUAAUUAUAAACAAUACAUUUUUUAUUCAACCACUUCACUACCACAACCUCUUUCUCCUUCUCUGGAAGAAGCAGAGUUCUCACAACAUAUUAUUUUAUAUGGCGAAGUCACUUAGUAUGAUUCACUUAGCUUUGUUUUCUCCUGAGCUGGGUUCUGAGUUGUGGCUGUGUGAUUACAGUGUGUCAGAGUUCUUUUAAUCUCUCCUUUCUCAGAACUGUGUGGGGACCUGUGGAUUUAAGGGUUCUUCUCCCCACAGUCUCUCACCGAGAUGUCUAGAUAAACACAGAUUGCGAACGUAAAGGUUAUAAAGGCCUGCUGAAGCCAAACAAUGUUUCGGUUUCCCAUUUGGUGUAUUUUUCAGCAGAGAGAAACAGCUUUAUGUGUGUCUGUAUGCAGUUCCGCUAGUGUGUCUGUAUGCAGCUGGUGGAGGUCCUUAAAACCUGUUACCCUCUCUAGGGUAGGUGGCACCAAAUCGUCCCACCUACGCAACAGCCAGUCUAAUCCCGUGGCGCGAUAUUCAAAUACCUUAGAAAUGCUAUUACUUCAAUUUCUCAAACAUAUGACUAUUUACCAGCAUUUUAAAGACAAGACUCUCCUUUAUCUAACCACACUGUCCGAUUUCAAAAAGGCUUUACAACGAAAGCAAAACAUUAGAUUAUGUCAGCAGAGUACCCAGCCAGAAAUAAUCAGACACCAAUUUUUCAAGCUAGCAUAUAAUGUCACAUAAACCCAAACCACAGCUAAAUGCAGCACUAACCUUUGAUGAUCUUCAUCAGAUGACACACCUAGGACAUUAUGUUAUACAAUACAUGCAUGUUUUGUUCAAUCAAGUUCAUAUUUAUAUCAAAAAACAGCUUUUUACAUUAGCAUGUGACGUUCAGAACUAGCAAACCUCCGGUGAAUUUACUAAAUUACUCACGAUAAACGUUCACAAAAAACACAACAAUUAUUUUAAGAAUUAUAGAUACAGAACUCCUUUGUGCAAUCGAGGUGUCCUAUUUUAAAAUAGCUUUUCGUUGAAAUCACAUUUUACAAUAUUCUGAGUAGAUAGCCCAGCCAUCACGGCUAGCUAUUUAGACACCCACCAAGUUUAGCCCUGACCAAACUCCGAUUUACUAUUACAAAAGUUUGAUUACCUUUGGUGUUCUACUUCAGAAUGCACUCCCAGGACUGCUACUUCAAUAACAAAUGUUGGUUUGGUUCAAAAUAAUCCAUUGUUAUAUCCAAAUAACGGCGUUUUGUUCGUGCGUUCAAGACACUAUCCGAAGUGUAAAUAAGGGUCACGAGCAUGGCGCAUUUCGUGACAAAAGAUUUCUAAAUAUUCCAUUACCGUACUUCGAAGCAUGUCAACCGCUGUUUAAAAUAAAUUUUUAUGCCAUUUUUGUCGUAAAAAAAGCGAUAAUAUUCCGACCGGGAAUCUGCGUUUAGGUAAACAGAUGAAAGAAAAUGAAUCAUGGGGUCGACUCGGGCACGAGCCUGAGUCUCACAGUACUGUAACCAGCCACUAUCCAAACGCGCUACUUUUUUUCAACCAGAGCCUGCAAAGCCACGAUUCAGCUUUUUGCCGCCUUCUGAGAGCCCAUGGGAGCCGUAGGAAGUGUCACGUAACAGCAGAGAUCCUCUGUAAUGGAUAGAGAUAAUCAAGAAGGGCAAGAAAUUGUCAGACAGGGCACUUCCUGCAUGGAAUCUUCUCAGGUUUUGGCCUGCCAUAUGAGUUCUGUUAUACUCACAGACACCAUUCAAACAGUUUUAGAAACUUUAGAGUGUUUUCCAUCCACAUCUACUAAUUAUAUGCAUAUUCUAGUUUCUGGGCAGGAGUAGUACCCAGAUUAAAUUGUGUACGUUUUUUAUCCGGCCGUGAAAAUACUGCCCCCUAUCCCAAACAGGUUAAUGGGUGACCUCCCACCACAUUGUGCAUUAGAUACAGAAAGAUGACAAGCUGAAUCUGAGAUGGGGAUUUGAGACGAAGGACCAUGUUGAGGGUCAGUAGGGGGUCUGAGACUAAGGACUAUGUUCAGAGUCAAUAGGGGGUCUGAGACUAAGGACCAAGUUGAGGUUCAGUAUCAACCUUACAUGAGUUGGAAGACUUUCUCAAAUUGCAGAGUUCUCUAGUUAUUUAGGUUUACACAGUAUGUUUUAACUGUUUCAAAUAUAGCUGUUUUGCCAUGAGGCUGACUAUUGCAAAGCCGUGGCCCGGAAUCGAACCAAGGUUGCUCAAAACCCAUUGGAUGAGAAAACCAGACGUCCCACCCCGCUGACCUUCUCCACCAAUGGGUACAAUAAAAUGCUUGAAAAGACACUGUUGAGACUCAAACUCAGGAUCUCCUGUUUUACUAGACAGGUGCUUUAACCAACUAAGCCACAGCACCCAUAGAUGUAACUUCUAUUGCGGGUAUGAAAACCCAAACCUAUUUCAAUCAAACCCGUCUCAUUCAUUUAACCCAUUUCUCUGUCUAGCAAAAUCACGUCACAAAGCAGAUGUAACUCUCUUAUAUUGGAAUCGAUAUAGACACCUUCAAUGGUCUAGCAACAGGGUUUCUUAUGCUGUGGUUAGGGACCCAAAGUGUGCCUGAGCAUGUGAGAGGUGGAUCGAGAGAUAUCAGUAAACAUUCAGAAUGAUACACUAUUUCUUCAUAAUUUUGGUCGUUCGAGGACACUACAAUUCUCAUUUGGGUCUUGAGCUUAAAAAUGGUAAUUUAAGCAAUUAAGCUACAAUGAACUGGGUUACUUUGUCAAAUGGCAGAGUUGUUGAGUUUCGUAGCUUACACAGUAAGUUUUAACUCGUUCAAAACCUUCUGAAAAUGACAAUGCUGUGACCCAGAUUCAAACUAAAGUUGCCGUGGCCACAACAAAAAGUAUUAACCACUAUACAAUCACAGUGAGGUACCAGAGAAUGCUUUUAGAGGCUACUCAUGCUGGGACAAUGAUGUGUACAAGCUGGUUAAACACUUGAGUUGUUAGCAAGUUCAGCUAAUGCCACAGAUUUACAGAUUCAAUUACACAGUUACAGUAGUACGUUUUAAGCAUUGAAAAGGAGCUUUUUUUGCCAUGACAUGCUGUGAACCGUUUGUUUCUGCAGCCACAACGCACAGUACUAACCACUAUACGGUCACAGCGGGCUACCAGGGCUUGAAUGGAAAGGCUAACGAUGCUGGCACUUGUUAGCUACCUCACUCAAAAGGAGAAAUUUUGCUUUGACAUGUGGAGAAUAUCAAUUGCAUUAUCCUCGCCUCGCCUCCUUCUCAAAAAAAAUUAGAUGAGCUUGAGAGGAUCUACAAAAAGAAUGGGAGGCACUCCCCAAAUACAGGAGUGCCAAACUUGUAGAGUCAUACCCAAGAAGACUUGAGGCUGUAAUCACUGCCAAAGGUGCUUAAACAAAGUACUGAGGAAAGGGUCUGAAUACUUAUGUAAAUGUUAUAUUUCAGUUUUACAUUUGUAAUAUUUUUGCUGAAAUUUCUAAAACCUGUUGUUGCAUUGUUAUUAUAGGUUAUUGUGUGUAGGCUGACGAGGGGGAAAAACAAUUUAAAUCCAUUUUAGAAUAAGGCUGUAACAAAAAGUCAAGGGGUCUGAAUACUUUCCGAAGGCCCUAUAUAUAUA